rnacentral:rRNA from 1 species
UACGGAGGGGGCUAGCGUUGUUCGGAAUUACUGGGCGUAAAGCGCACGUAGGCGGCUUUGUAAGUUAGAGGUGAAAGCCCAGGGCUUAACCCUGGAAUUGCCUUUAAGACUGCAUCGCUAGAAUCGUGGAGAGGUGAGUGGAAUUCCGAGUGUAGAGGUGAAAUUCGUAGAUAUUCGCAAGAACACCAGUGGCGAAGGCGGCUCACUGGCCCGGAACUGACGCUGAGACGCGAAAGCGUGGGGAGCAAACAGG